AAUUUUUAUUGUAAAGAUGAUUAUAAAUAUAUGAUAUUAUUUUAUUUGAUUUUAAAUGUAUAGUAAACUGCGAGUUGUAUAUGUUUUGUUGAUAUUAUUUAUAUUGUUUAGUGUUUAAAAUUAUACACUUGUAUUUUGAUUGUUAAUUUUAGAGUUUCACAUGUAGUAUACCAUCUUGUAUUAAUAUCGAUUUAAACCCGUCAAUUCUAGGAUUUUCUAUCUUGUAUUAAAAAUUGAAUCACAUCAUACACAUAAAAAAAUCUAAUAUGUUAUUAAUUAUUGUAGUAUAUAAGAUUAUAAAUUUUUAAAAUAAUAUGUAUGAAAUUGAAUAUAAAUAUUCAAAUUAUGACCCAGUAUUCAGUAGAAAAUUUUCUUAAAUCUAUUUUUGACCCGUUAUAAUAUUUUUUCAUGUAUUGAACAGUUUAUAUUAGUUUUUAAAAAUUCAAAUUAUGGCAUAUGCGAAAAAACUCUAAUUAUUUUUUUAUAACGAUGAUAUUAUUUUUUCGCCAAAAUAGAAUCAUAUAAAGAUGAGAGGUGAACUAUAAUAAUUAAUAAAAAAUUAAUAUGAUAAUUUAGAUAUCAAAUCUAAUUUGUUGAUUUUAAUUGGUUACUUUUUUGGAAAUUAAUAAUGUAUUUUGUUUUUUAAUUAAAUUUAAUUAAUUAAAUUAGUAUUUGACUUAAUUAUUAAAGAGAUGAAUUAAUUUACUCUUUAAAUUUUAUUUCUAAUGGCAUACUUAUGUAAUUACUUACAAAAAAUAAGGUUAUAUUUAAAAUGUACUUCCUAAAUAAUAUAGUAGGAUUUCUUAAUUAGGAAAA
rnacentral:sRNA from 1 species